GUGCGGAGGGGGGACCUU
rnacentral:rRNA from 1 species